CUCCCGAACCUCCACGUCGUACGCCUCUCGCUCCGCCGCCAGGUCCGGGUACUCCUCUCGCUUGGUCUUGUUGAGCCUGUUGACGAUCUCGUUCUGGCGCUUCUCCACCUUGAUCCUGCGCACCAGCUUCAGGUCGUGGUACCCGACCUGACCCACCUCCAUCCGGGGAAGUUUCUUCAGGUUGGCCCACGGCGUGUACACGAUCCAGACGUUGUUCUCCUUGUUGCCCUGGAUGCUGUUCGCCUUGACGAGCUGCGCGCAAUCCUCGAGCUCCUCCUCGGUGAGGUCGUCCCACGUCUGGCCCUUCUUGACGCGCAUGUAGACG
rnacentral:lncRNA from 1 species